AUGGUGCGAUCUAGAAUAUCUCCCAGCCGGCGUGCAUUCAUGGAGUCGGAUCGUCCGUGUUUAGACAUCAAGGACGUUGGUCGUAAUCGAGUGAAUUGCAGUGACGGCGGCGACAGGAUCAGCGCUCUACCCGACGACAUCCUCCUCAACAUACUCCAAUGUCUGGACCUGCGCACGGCGGUCAGGGCGGGCGCCAUGGCGAGGCGAUGGAGGCGCCUCCCGUGCAUGCUCCCCGAUCUUGACAUGGACGUCGCCACCAUGGUACCGCACCAUCGCUUGAACUUCUCCUUGGAUUGUGUCAUGGCCAGGUACACCAAUUCCGUAAAGUGGUUUCUGCUGCCCACUCAUCACCGGACGAGCCUGCGCUUCGCAUUCUACCUUGCAGAAGUAGACCCGUGCCUGCGCUCCAUCGGAGGCGCAAUCGCCGCCACCCCCGCCGACCGCCUCGAGCUCACCGUACGGACUGCAUACGACGUCGAGUUCGCCGAGUAUGGUCAACGCUUUGCAUCGUUCUUGGCGGCCUGCCCCACCGCCUUCGCGCGGCUCACUACCAUUACCUUGCAAGAUUUCGUCUUCACCACCGGCUCGGAGAUCGCCGCUCUUCUUGACGCCUGCCACAGCCUAGAGCUCCUCUCCUUGACCAAAUGCAGGUGCAGGGCCUCUGUUGCUUAG
rnacentral:rRNA from 1 species